rnacentral:lncRNA from 1 species
GUUCAUUAGGACAGUGUCAGCUAUAACUUCUUUGGUUUCCAAGACACUGUACAUAAUCUGAUACCUAAGUCUCAUAUUGCCCAGGAAUGUACUGUACGUUUCCUGUAAGAGGUUUAAAGGUCUUGGUUUCCUAAAGGGGAACAUUUCUACCAGGGAACACAGCAAGAAUCUUCAUUGGACUUUAAGCUACACCACCACCCAGGCACUUUGGGUCUGUGGGGACUGGAAUCGGCCACCCCCAGGUUCCUCAUGCUAAGGACCAGCAGGCAAGAGAAAGAUCUGUCGACGAAAAUAAUCCAUAACCAAUCUGUAAAUGAAAAUUUGGAUCCUGGCGGGGGUAAUUGACUCCUAUCAAGAGGCGGUGGAACUGCUGUUUUACAACUUUCAGUACUGUCUUGUGCAAUUUUGAUGGCAAAUGGAUAAGCACAGCAGGUGCAGCCUGAGAGGAGCAUGGUAAACAGUAACUGGAACUCAUCAGUUUUGAGUGUCUGAGUCACUCCACUUGGUAAAACACUUAAACCUUCAGAGGUGCUAAUCAACAGUGAGGAAAAUCUGGAAUGGACAAGAGACAAGGGAGAGGAUGAAUAUAAGUUGCAGUCUCAAGACCAGCUGUAGGAGCAGAGAGGUUGUAGUUCAUCUUACUAAUCUUCCUUUUAUAAGUUUCCCCCAGGAAAGAGGUCCACCAAUGUACUGAAGGAGCUACUCUCAGAACUCAUAUGAAGAAAGUGGAUCUGAAUGGCACAAGGUCUGGACCAUCCCGGAAGCUAUGCUGCCCUUUCCAGACCACACCUGUCAGCCCUCUUAGAAAUUGCUUCAGCUGAAGAGAGCUGCUUUGCUCAGUCAGGUCCCCUCUGGGCAGCCAGUGUCCACUGACUAAUUGACACCCAAUCCUAUUUUCUUUUGUUCCACAGUUGUUGAUUGCAGGACUCUCUAAUAAACUUCCUAUGUGCU